rnacentral:misc_RNA from 1 species
UCCGGCUUGACGCCGGCAGUCCCCCGAGAGUCCACGCUGUAAACGAUGUGUGCUAGUUGUGGGCCCUUCCGGGUCCGUGACGCAGUUAACGCAGUAAGCACACCACCUGGGGAGUACGUUCGCAAGAAUGAAACUCAAAGGAAUUGACGGGGGCCCGCACAAGCGGUGGAGCAUGUGGCUUAAUUCGAUGCAACGCGAAGAACCUUACCUGGGCUAAAUCCGGCCUGCCGGCUCCUGAAAGGGAGCUUUCCUUCGGGACGGGCCGGAAGGUGCUGCAUGGCUGUCGUCAGCUCGUGCCGUGAGGUGUUGCCUUAAGUGGCGCAACGAGCGCAACCCCUGUGGUUAGUUACCAGCACGUGAUGGUGGGGACUCUAGCCAGACUGCCUACGCAAGUAGUGAG